CCUGCCCGCCUGCCCCCGCGGCCCCGCGCCCGUGACUCACCUCGGCGCCGGGGCAGGCUGGUCCGGGCGGGCGAGGCGCAGGGCUCUCCCACACGUCGCGCCGCCAAUGGCAAGUUGGAGGGCGAGAUGCAAAUACCAGAUGAGGCUGCCGAGACCUAGGAAAUUAGCUGCUCUGGGUCAUCCAGGAGUGAGUGGCAAAGCUGAGACGCAAAUCCCAAAGAGCGCUUUUUCCGCUGUGCUCCCCAGCUUCGGGAGGAAGAAACACGGGCAGGGAGCACUUACUGGAACCUGAAGAAGAAACACAGAGAUGAGAGAAGUUACAAGCAGAGAAUGGAGGAAGAAACACGAUUUGGUCAGUGGAAGAAAAGCCUGGACUAGAUGGAAGCAGAACAGUAAAGCCAUCUGAGGAGUGACGAAGUUCCGAUGUGAACUCACACAUCAUACUCCCAGCACUUCUGUUGCACUGAUGGUUCCUGUUGACCCGUCUGUGUCCGCCACUAGGUUCUAAAGCCAUUGAGGGCAGGGACUGUAUGUUACUCAUCUUCUUAUCUCUGGGGCCUAUUGGCCCACAGCAUGCAGCAAGUUCCGCAGUAUGUUUGCUAGCUGACCAAUAAAUCCAUUUACGAACGUAUGUAUGUAUUCAUAAAUUCAACACCCAUGUUGGGUGUUCCUCCAGAAGCAUCUCUGUGUUGUGCUGCAAAUGCCAAGAGAGCACAGGCGGGAACCUGCUUGGGAAGCCAGACACCUCUGUCCAGGCACCAGAUGCGACUCCUGGCCUUCUCCAACUGAGACACAGACCUUGGAGG